UGGCACCAUGACGUGAAGGGGUCCAGGAGUCCCACAGAGAGGCCGUGGGUAGGUGCACCAGUCAGUGACCUUGGCUGGGCUGAGUCCCAGACAACAGGCUGUAUGGACAGACGUGUGAGUAAGCCGGCAGAGGGCUGUAGACUCCAGCUGUGGAGUCGUCCCUAGCUUUGAGACUUCCUCGCUUAGACCCAGAUAUGGUAAAACAGAAACAAGCUCUCCCCACGAUGCCUGCUGCACCUUCUUAACGCACAGAACCUGUGAGCAAAAUGAAAUUUUUGUUUUGUUUUAAGUCAGGGUGGUUUAUUACACAGCAAUAGAACAAUGGUAAUCACUAACUUUCCUGUUUGUUUAGGAUCUUUUUUUUUAAAACUAGAAACAGCUAUGGCAACUUCAUGGUUUAAAAAAAAAAAAAGUAAACUUUACUGUAAAGGACAAUUGGUAUGUGAAGCAAUGGACUUGAAAGUUAAGAUUUUAAAAAAUACAAAUCAGUAUCUAGUGAUGCUUGUAAAAAAAUCUUGGGAGUAGAUAAUCAGGUUACAAGCACCUUCAAUGGAGAAUAAAUCCUCAUUUCAUGCCAACAAAACUGAAAACCACAAUACGCAGUGUAUAAUUUCAGAGAAUGGUUUAGAUCUGGUUAUUGUUAUGAACCAUCGACCCACUCAAACAAAGGAAAAAAAAAACACUUCUAACAACAGAAAAGGGGUCAGGGUGGAGCCUACUGGAAGAAAAUUGAACCAAAAAUAAGAAAGUUGAACCAAAAGUGUGAACUUUGAGGAUCUGGCAUGCAGAUGGCUUAAAGACUAAGAAAAUAGAGGCAAAAGACAAAAUUUUUACUCACAAAUGUGUACCAGUGGCUGCUUGCUGUUCGGCACUAUCUGCUUCUGUGGUUCAUAUUAAAUCCUUUAACUUCCUUCAA